CAUGCAAGUCGAACGAUGAAGCCCUUCGGGGUGGAUUAGUGGCGAACGGGUGAGUAACACGUGGGCAAUCUGCCCUGCACUCUGGGACAAGCCCUGGAAACGGGGUCUAAUACCGGAUAUGACCGUCCAUCGCAUGGUGGAUGGUGUAAAGCUCCGGCGGUGCAGGAUGAGCCCGCGGCCUAUCAGCUAGUUGGUGAGGUAGUGGCUCACCAAGGCGACGACGGGUAGCCGGCCUGAGAGGGCGACCGGCCACACUGGGACUGAGACACGGCCCAGACUCCUACGGGAGGCAGCAGUGGGGAAUAUUGCACAAUGGGCGAAAGCCUGAUGCAGCGACGCCGCGUGAGGGAUGACGGCCUUCGGGUUGUAAACCUCUUUCAGCAGGGAAGAAGCGAAAGUGACGGUACCUGCAGAAGAAGCGCCGGCUAACUACGUGCCAGCAGCCGCGGUAAUACGUAGGGCGCAAGCGUUGUCCGGAAUUAUUGGGCGUAAAGAGCUCGUAGGCGGCUUGUCACGUCGGUUGUGAAAGCCCGGGGCUUAACCCCGGGUCUGCAGUCGAUACGGGCAGGCUAGAGUUCGGUAGGGGAGAUCGGAAUUCCUGGUGUAGCGGUGAAAUGCGCAGAUAUCAGGAGGAACACCGGUGGCGAAGGCGGAUCUCUGGGCCGAUACUGACGCUGAGGAGCGAAAGCGUGGGGAGCGAACAGGAUUAGAUACCCUGGUAGUCCACGCCGUAAACGGUGGGCACUAGGUGUGGGCAACAUUCCACGUUGUCCGUGCCGCAGCUAACGCAUUAAGUGCCCCGCCUGGGGAGUACGGCCGCAAAGGCUAAAACUCAAAGGAAUUGACGGG
rnacentral:rRNA from 1 species